GUAGGUUACAGUGUGUGUAGUUACGGCUACGUUAGUUACGUACGAUAAUAAUCCCCAAGAUUGCGUCGUGUUUCUUUUCAUUAUGGUUGCCCGUUCAGAAGUCAGAGACGAUUCCAAGGAUUUGAUGAAAGUCCCUGCAGAAGUGAUGUAACGACAGAUGGGAAACAUGGUUGAAUGCCAGUAUCAUAUAUGAUCUACAGCUGGUGGUAUGCUGCUGUCAUCAUGGGUGGUAUGGCAGAAGCGUGGAAACCUUCUGAUUGGUUAGGCAGCGAUAUGAAAUUACUUUACCCAAUUCCAGAGUUAUUCAGUUGCACUUACCACUAAGUGGAUCCGGAGUGGUGCAGUUCUUCUUUUGUUUGCCUCGAUCCUCCCUGAAGCUCUGCACCAGGUCUGGAUUGGAGUUCUGUGCUAGUCUCCUUCUCCUUGCCCUCUGCUCCAACCUCCUCACCCGACCCUGAGAUCGGCUGAUGAAGUCUGGCCUGAAGAGCUCCAAAGCCUCCUGGGGUGGAAAGAGGGAUACAUACAGUAAGAUGCUUGUUGGUGGGAAGAAUACAGUACAAUUCCCAGACACUAAUCCAGUGGAAAGAGAAAAGAAAUCUCCAUUGGGUUAGAAUCUAUUAAGAACAAAUACUAUUCCUUAACCUUGGAGAAUCCUUGUCACAGCCUUGUAAUAGCUAAGAGGUAUAGGCAACAUGUUAAUAUUAUGCUCAGCUUUAGUGGGGAUAAAGGUAAGAGAGCUUUACUCACGGGGGAUUCUGAAUCCUUUAAAAUCUCACUGGAUCUGAGCAAAACUUGUUAUAAUAACUGGGUAGGAAGAAAUGAAAAUCAAAAAGAAGGAAAAUAAAGCAAAUUGUGUAAUUAUUAAAGAUUUGUUUUCAUUCCCCCUCCACUUGGCAGAUGCUGUGUAAAACACCAACUAAAGCAAAAAUCCCUCCAAGUGUAAAAAAAAUCACCCCUAAGAGAUGAUGCUUCUGUUGUGAUAAUGUUUAUUUCAAGAGUAAACACAUUACGAUUCUCUGUGUGGGGAACCUUAAUUGAAAUAGUCCAAAUGCAUCAUUCCUAAAGGUUUAAAGUUUCCAUAUGGCACAUACACUGCACUUUUCCACAUAAACCUUAUGUGGUUGUACUGUGUAUAAUACUAAACAGCUAUUUGUGGUGUUUUCUUGACUUCACGUAAAUGACCUUUAGGCUGUCAGCCUUGGAUCUGUACUUUGUGGAACCAUUAUUUGUUGUAUUUGCAUCCUCAGUGGCUCCACUCAUUCUUUGAUAGUUCUUAACUUUGAUUGUUCACUGUGGACUUUCAAUUUUAGCUUGA